rnacentral:lncRNA from 1 species
AUGAGGUUCAGUAUCAUAACUGUUUCCUCAUAGUAACGCCAGCGAAUCUCAUCAAGAACCCUUUGUGCUUUGAAGACAGACAUAUGGAUACGUUUUUGUGCUUUGAAAACUCGCUCGAACUUAAGUAGACGAUCGGUUGGAACUUUCCUUGCAAGUUUCCUUAGCCCACUUUUCUUCUUCUUUAUCCUAGGGAUAUACUUUACUAAUUUGAAACUUGUCAUAAAUAAGGUUAUUCCCCGCCUACCUUUACUUUGCAUCUUUUUUUUAUUCUGAAUCUUUCUAUUCUGAAUUCAGUUAACGACGAGAUUUAGUAUCCUUUCUUGCAUUUUCAUAACUCGUGAAAUGCCGAGUAGGUACGAAUUCCCCCAAUUUGCGACCUACCAUAGGAUUUGUUAUGUAAAUAGGUAUAUGUUCCUUUCCAUUAUGAAUCGCGAUUGUAUGGCCAACCAUUGUGGGUAGAAUGCUAGAUGCCCGGGACCACGUUACUAUUGUUUCUUUCUCCUCCUUCAUAUUGACCUUUUCUAUUUUUGCCAAUAAAUGAUGAGCUACAAAAGGAUUCGUUUUUUUUCGUGUCACAGCUGAUUACUCCUUUUUUUUCCUUUUUAAAGAGCGGCAAUCUAUGUCCAAUAUCUCGAUCGAAGUAUGGAGGUCAGAAUAAAUAGAAUAAUGAUGAAUGGAAAAAAGAGAAAAAUCCUGUAGCUGGAUAAGGGGCGGAUGUAGCCAAGUGGAUCAAGGCAGUGGAUUGUGAAUCCACCAUGCGCGGGUUCAAUUCCCGUCGUUCGCCCAUCGCAUUAUUGCAAAUGCAAAAAAUGCAAUUUUCCAUAUUCCUAGUUACGUAUUUACUUACGGCGACGAAGAAUAAAACUAUCGCUAUAUUUUUUCCUUUUCCUAGUUCUUCUUCCAAGCGCAGGAUAACCCCAAGGGGUUGUGGGUUUUUUUCUACCAAUGGGGGCUUUCCCUUCACCGCCCCCAUGGGGGUGGUCCACAGGGUUCAUAACUACCCCUCUUACUAUGGGGCGUUUACCUAGCCAACACUUAGAUCCGGCUCUACCCAAACUUUUUUGGUUCACCCCAACAUUACCCACUUGUCCGACUGUUGCUAAGCAGUUUUGGGAUACUAAACGGACCUCCCCAGAUGGUAAUCUUAAAGUGGCUGAUUUACCCUCUUUUGCAAUAAGUUUCGCUACAGCACCUGCUGCUCUAGCUAAUUGGCCACCCCUUCCACGUGUGAUUUCUAUGUUAUGCAUGGCCGUGCCUAAGGGCAUAUCGGUUGAAGUAGAUUCUUCUUUUCUCUCAAAAAACCCCUUCCCAAACUGUACAAGCUUCUUCCAAAGCAUACGGCUUUCUAGAUGUAUAUGACGAUCUCUAGACAGAUGGAUCUUAUAUAAAUCAUAUGAUGAAGUACCACAUGAGUGGAUAUAUAGGAAAGGAAUCCAAAUCUGCCGAAUCGCUCAUGUUAGGAUCUUCUACAUCCUAGGUCUCCGCGUUCCGUCAUCUGGCUUAUGUUCUUCAUGUAGCAUUCAGAUCGAAUGACUCUAUGAAAUUACGUUGAUACUUCCACAUAUUAUGGGUAACGUAGGAGACAUCCCUUUUUUCCCCGGGGGUCUUAAUUACCACUGCUUAGCUUUCAAUUCGCCUCUGACCAUCAAAUUAAAUGUGAAUAACCCGUCCUACUCUCUUUGAAACAAGGGGCGCUUCCGGUUCUGUGCGUGCUUCAAACAAUUUUGUCUUCUCCAUAUUACCAUAUCUCUAGAGUCAAUAAUUUUCUAUGAGGAACUACUGAACUCAAUCACUUGCUGCCGUUACUCAACAGUUUUCUGUUAAGGUCUAUCCCGUAGAGGUAGUCAAAUUGGAUCAGUGAUCGAUUUCUAGGUUUCGUCGUAAACCUAAUUGGUUACUUCCAAUUACGUAAAUCAAUAGUUCAAACCGCACUCAAAGGUAGGGCAUUUCCCAUUGAUAUAGGAACUUUUGUACCAGAAACAAUAGUAUCUCCAAUUAUAGCCCCUCUGGGAUGUAAAAUAUAUCUCUUCUCACCAUCCCCAUAGUGUAUGAGACAAAUGUAUGCAUUUCGAUUAGGGUCGUAUUCUAUGGUUACGAUUCUACCAGAUAUGUCUUUUUGAUUCCGUCGAAAAUCGAUUUUACGGUAUAGGCGUUUAUGACCUCCCCCUCUAUGCCUUGCGGUAAUGAUUCCUCUGGAAUUACGACCUUUACCACAACGGUGCCGUCCAUGGAUCAAAUUAUUUCGUGGAUUGGAUUUCACUUGCCUGUCUACGGUUCCCUUGCGUGUACUCGAGAUAGGUGUUUUGUAUAAAUGUUUCGCCGUAUUAUUAAGUAUUCUCCUUUAGUUUUUUUCUCUAUCUAGAAGUGGAAUAGAAUAACCCGGUUGAAGGGUAAUGAUCAUACGUCUGUAAUGCAUUGUAUGUCCCAGAAUAGGUCCUAUUCUUCUACCCUUUCCGGGUAGUCGAUGGCUAUUCACAGCUACUACCUUAACACCAAAGAAGAGUUCGACCCAAUGCUUUAUUUCUGUCUUAGUGAAUCCUGAUUCGACAUUAAAAGUAUAUUGAUUCUUUCCCAAUAAACGAAGACUUUUUUCUGUAAAUACUGCGUAUUUGAUUCCAUCCAUAAAUCGACUUUCCCUCCUAUGCUCUGAGUUCCAGUAUCGAUAAGAAUUCGAGUUCUUAUUGUUCUUAUGUUAUGGUAUGAAUAUACCAUACCAAUUCGUUAUGUAUGGAUGAUGGAUGAGAUUCCAUGGAUAGAGAGCCAGUUCCAAUAGACUUAUGGAACGUUCCCGUUCGCGUGCAUCCAGCAGGAAUUGAACCCGCAAAUUUACCAAUUAUGAGUUGGGCGCUUUAACCAUUCAGCCAUGGAUGCUUAACAGGGAUCAUCCUACAUCGUAAAUAACCAAUUUUCAUAUAGAAAGACAUAUCAUAGAAAAAUGAAAUCGAAAAUAUUCGGAGAUGGCAAAUAUUCGGAGAUGACUAUGAAAACACCUCUCUGGAUCCUCGAAUUGAAAGAGAGAUUGAGAGGGAUCAAGAAUCCUAAUUCUCUCUAUUUGGAAUGGAUCCAAUUCUAUUGAGUCUGACUCAUAGUGAUCAUUUCUCUUUAGCAAAGAAUGACCUUGGUUAUCAAAGGAUUGAACAACCGGGAUCCAUUUACUUAUGAUACCUAGUUGGCAUUGAUAACAAGGAUCUAAUGAAUUAUGAGUUUAAUAGAUCCUCUUUAGCAGAAAGACGUAUAUUCCUUGCUCAUUAUCAGACAAUCACUUAUUCCCAAACCUCGUGUGGGGCUAAUCGUUUUCAUUUACCAUCUCAUGGAAAACCCUUUUCGUUCCGCUUAGCCCUAUCGGGUAUUUUAGUGAUAGGUUCUAUAAGAACUGGACGAUCCUAUUUGGUCAAAUACCUAACGAAAAAUUACGAUUUUCCUUUCAUUAAGGUACGAGGGCUUCUUAUUCCACAAGAACGAAAGCACCUUUUCAUUCUUUCAUAUACUAGGGGUUUUUACUUAGAAAAGACAAUGUUCCAUACUAAAAGAUUCGGGUGCAUAACCACGAGUUCCAGUGCACUAGAUCUUGUAGCACUUAGCAACGAGGCCCUAUCCAUUAGUAUUCCACAUAAGAAAUCCAUUAUAGAAAAAAAUACAAUUAGAUUAACUCUUCAUAGACAAACUUGUGGUUUGCGAGCCAAGGUAAGAUCGGCUCGGGAUCAUGGGACCUUUUUCUAUCAGAUAGGAGGGGCUCUUGUACAAAAUAGACUUAUAAGUAAUAACCCCAUAGAAUCAAUCUAUCUAUAUAAAGAGGCGAUCGUGUCAGGAAGCGGGUUUUUCUUUGGCCAAAAGGUACUUCGAACUUGGAACGAGCAUGAAGAGAUUAACGAGACUUCUUUCUCUUUUGCGUUUUUAUGGCGGACCUGCCGCGCAAGAUCUUUGGUCUUCCCCUGGAACCGAUGAAAAAAAGUGGAUCGCUUCUUAUGGACUCGCUCAGAAUGAUUCUUCUCUAUCUAUAGUUCAUGGCCUAUUAGAAGUAGAAGGUGCUCUGGUGCAAUCCUUACCGACAGAAAAAGAUUGCAGUCAGGUUGAUAAUAAUCGAGUGCCAUUACUUCGUCGGUCCGAACCAAGGAAUCCGUUAGAAAUGUUUUGAAAUGGAUAUUGUUCUCUCUUUGAUCAGGGAUUGCUAUAUGAAAAGAAGUGGAGUUUGAAAAAGGGAACGGAAUGGUCAAACCGGAACUGCUAGAGGAACGAAUUUUCAAUAGCAUAACUUGGGCUCCUAGAAUAUGGCGCCCUUGGGACAAUCCAUUUGAUUGCAGGGUUUUGUUCCGAAGCAAAGAUAUCCGCGGAGGCCAGUUCGUUCGUCCUAUUCUGAUAUUCAGGACCAAGAGGUACUGGAUUCUCUUUCGGAUAGGCCCUGAAAGGAGAAGAAAGGCUGAAAUGCCAACGGACCUCUGUCUAUUCUCUAAUUCACCCGAGCCGAUAGUACCCGUUUUUGGAACGUCCAGUGCCAAAGUCACUGAAUGGGUAAGUCACCAAUCCAACCCCUUUGACAAAUCGGGUGUCAUAUUAGAUAUCAUAUUCUAUAUAUAUAGAAAUAUCAUAGAAUAGACAUAUAGAAUUUUUGGUCUGGAAAUUAGAAAGAAUCAUUGAGUGAAAAAGGAGCAAAGAAUGACAAAAGACGAGACUCUACUAGUCUUCACUCUUGUGGUUUCCUCGGUUUCUGUUUUCUUAUUCGGGAUCUUGCUUUUCAUGAUUCUCAUCUCUGCAACUCGCGAUUUUAGCGAGAGAACCAAAUCCAAGUUGGUGAAGAUCAUGAUUUGGGCUGGCAUAGUAGUUAUUACCUUUGCAAUUGCGGUUCGAAUCUAUCCGAUCUUUAUCUUUUUGCUCAAAGAACGAAUAAAACCCCUUGUCGAAGCCCUUUAUGAUAAGCUUCCCUGGAUCUGGGAAGUUUCUCUUUCACGGUAUUGGGAUCGUUUGCUCGAUUUCCUUGAUUUGAUCGCUACUUAUGGGCGUGC